GGGGACGCUGCGAGGGCCCCGCGGCAGGCCGGGCCGAGGGAGGCUGCGCGCGCCUGCCUCCUGCUCCCGGGGCCGCGCCUCGCCUUCCUCUUCCGGUCCCUGCGGCGGUUCGGUUGCUCAGCGAGAGGCGAGGUCGAGGGGACUCGGGACGGGCGUCCAGAGUUUGUUUUGUGGCCGGCGUGAUUGAGAAGGGCCCCUGGAGGGUGAGCAGUGACGUCGUACUGGGUGCCGGUGUUAAACAGGUUUCUUCUUUUCAUUCUCCUGCAAGGUAGGCGCUGGGAGGACUGGAAGGGAGCAAGGACGGAGCAGGAGACAACUGAUACUGCACCAGUCCAAGUGAGAAAUGACGGUGGCAUCUUAUCCAUAGGGAAACCAAAAUACCCAGGAUACAAAUGUCCACUUCUGGCCACGAUGGAGUAAUAAAGAUAAGAUUAUCUCUCCCGCUUGGAACAGCCAAAAGCACUGGACAAACUAUGUGAAACAGUGGUCUCCAAAAUACUGGACACCAGAUAGCAAAGGACAGUGAAUCCUGACAUAUAAGAAAUAUAUGAGAGGAGAAGGGGACAUAUGAGAGCCGAACUCCACACGAUGAUGGAGGCAGAGCUCGAGAGGCUGCAGCUACAAGCCAGGGAAUGCCAAGGACUGAUGGCCACCCCAGACUCUCCCGGACAACAGGAGCAGAGGAGGGAGCAUGGCCCUAUUGACACUUUGACUUCAGACUUGCAGCCUCCAGAACUGUGAGAUAGUACAGUGCUAUUGUUUAAACCACCCAAUUUGUGGUUCUUUGUUAUAAGAGCCCCAGGAAACCGAUACAACCACCCACUGCAAUAUAGGCAUAUGAACUUAUUUGUAGGUUGCGUAUAGAAGUACCACUGUACUAAUGUAGGGUUUUUGAUGGCAGGUACAUUUACUGGUUUUCUUUCAUAUACUAAUAUUUUUUUAAGUAUAAAAAUAGAAUUUUCAAAGGAUGAAACAUUGAUUACACAAUAUUUUUAAAUCAUUUUUACUUUAUUAAUGGUACAAAAAAUGUUUUUUCUUAAAGAUUUAGAGAAAGAGAGAGUGAGCAGGGAGAGAGAGAAUCCUCAAGCAGACUCGCUGCUAAGUGUGGAACCUAACCUGGGGCCAGAUCUCACAACCGUGAAAUGAGAUCAUGACCUGAGUGGAAAUCAAGAGUUAGCCGUAUAACUGACUGAGCACCCAGGCACCCCUGGUACAAAAAAUGUUUAUCAAACCAUGAAAAGACAAGGGAGACAUUUAAAUGCAUGUUACUAAGUGAAAGAAGCCAAUCUGAAGAGGCUACAUGAUGUAUGAUUCCAACUAUAUGACAUAAUGGAAAAGGCCAAAUUACAGAGAUGGUAAAAGGAUCAAUGGUUGCUGGGGGAGGGGGUGCGGGGGGGGGUGCUGUAGGGAUGAAUAGAGGGAUUUUAGGACAGUGAAAAUACUCCGCAUGCUACUCUAAUGAUGGAUACAUGUCAUCACGCAUUUGUCCCAAACUGCAGGAGAUACAAUGCCAAGAGUGAACUUCUCUAUUGGGUGAUUAUGAUGUGCCAGUGGAGGAUUCAUCAAUUCUAACAAAGGCCCAUCUGUU